GAUGAACGCUGGCGGCGUGCCUAAUACAUGCAAGUCGAGCGAACAGACGAGGAGCUUGCUCCUUUGACGUUAGCGGCGGACGGGUGUGUCACACGUGGGUAACCUACUUAUAAGACUGGGAUAAUUUCGGGAAACCGGAUCUAACACCGGAUGAUAUUUCGCACCGCAUUGUUCGUUAGUGAAAGAUGGCUUUGCUAUCACUUAUCGCUGCACCUGCGCCGUAUUAGCUGGUUGGUAAGGUAACGGCUUACCAAGGCAACGAUACGUAGCCGAAGUGAGAGAGUGAUAGGCCACACGGGAAGGGAGACACGGUCAAGACGACUGAGAGAGGCAGCAGUAGGGAAUGUGAGGCAACGGUCGAAAGCAUUACGGAGUAAGGACGCGUGAGAGACAAAGGUCUUCGGAUCGUGAAAACGUGUUAUGAGGGAAGAACAAAUGUGUAAGUAAAUGUGCACGGAGUGACGGUAACUAAUCAGAAAGCAACGGCUAACUACGUG
rnacentral:rRNA from 1 species